rnacentral:lncRNA from 1 species
AGACGCACCAGAAGAGGGCAUCAGAUCCCCAUUACAGAUGGUUGUGAGCCACCAUGUGAUUGCUGGGAUUUGAACUCAGGACUUCUGGAAGAACAGUCAUUGCUCUUAACCACUGAGCCAUCUAGCCCAAUCUAGAAGAUUUUAAUGAAAGCAAAACCAGACUCAACAGAAAACUGGACGAUGCCAAUGUACGUCCUAUCCCUUUGGCUAAGUACCACAGCAGUCGGCAAGAGCAAGUGUGUGGUGAAAGGUGGAUCCAUUUUCUAGGAAACACUGGUGUGAUGUGAAAGCUCCAGCUAGUAUUAAAAACGUGAGGGAAACGACGGUCACAAGGGACUCAAGGAACCCAAACCGUAUCCGAUGGCCUCAAGGGCCCUGUGUUUGAAGUAAGCCUCGAUCUACAGAAUGAUGAAGUUGCACUUGGAAAAUGUAAGUGAGUUACUGAAGAUGUUCAGGGCAGAAACUGACUAACUUCCAUGACAUGGAUCUUGGGACAAAAUGUGCUCAUGGUCAAAAGCAGCAGACCAUGAUUGAUGCUCAUGUUGAUGUACGACGACCGUCUUACCUUUCCUGUCUGGACUUAUUCCCGUUACGGAUAAGGAGAGAUGAAGGUUCACACUUCGGGACUCCAGAAGACAGCAGAGGCUCAGUGUGUACUUGUCGGAUGAGUAAACAGAAUGUUUUAGACAAAGAGUGUUAUCUUGAUCUCUCAGUAAAGUACUUGGAAAGCUUAUACAAUUUGAAGUAUUUGGUUUUUUAGCAAAUGUAGGCUCUUCAAGGGUUAAAUGUUAGCAUUCAUGUGAAUUAAAGUAAAUGGGACACCAUGUUUACAACUCUAUCAUACUCAGCCUUUGGAUUUUUUUUUUUUUUUUUUUUUUUGGGUCUUUUUUUCAGAGCUGGGGACCGAACCCAGAGCCUUGCGCUUCCUAGGUAAGCGCUCUAAAGCACUGAGCUAAAUCCCCAGCCCCUCAGCCUUUGGAUUUAUAAGUCAUUGUUUUGUUUUGUUUUUUAAAUUUAGCCCAUUCAAAUACAUUAACUGUGGCAAAUAAUUAGACUCGAGAUUAGAAAUUCAGGAAAGGCACAUUGAUAUGCUAAGUAUUUUGACUGAAUGUGACAUCAGACUUAG